GAGUUUGAUCCUGGCUCAGGAUGAACGCUGGCGGCGUGCCUAAUACAUGCAAGUCGAACGAAACUUCUUUAUCACCGAGUGCUUGCACUCACCGAUGAAGAGUUGAGUGGCGAACGGGUGAGUAACACGUGGGCAACCUGCCCAAAAGAGGGGGAUAACACUUGGAAACAGGUGCUAAUACCGCAUAACCAUAGUUACCGCAUGGUAACUAUGUAAAAGGUGGCUAUGCUACCGCUUUUGGAUGGGCCCGCGGCGCAUUAGCUAGUUGGUGAGGUAAAGGCUUACCAAGGCAAUGAUGCGUAGCCGAACUGAGAGGUUGAUCGGCCACAUUGGGACUGAGACACGGCCCAAACUCCUACGGGAGGCAGCAGUAGGGAAUCUUCCACAAUGGGCGAAAGCCUGAUGGAGCAACGCCGCGUGGGUGAAGAAGGUCUUCGGAUCGUAAAACCCUGUUGUUAGAGAAGAAAGUGCGUGAGAGUAACUGUUCACGUUUCGACGGUAUCUAACCAGAAAGCCACGGCUAACUACGUGCCAGCAGCCGCGGUAAUACGUAGGUGGCAAGCGUUAUCCGGAUUUAUUGGGCGUAAAGGGAACGCAGGCGGUCUUUUAAGUCUGAUGUGAAAGCCUUCGGCUUAACCGGAGUAGUGCAUUGGAAACUGGGAGACUUGAGUGCAGAAGAGGAGAGUGGAACUCCAUGUGUAGCGGUGAAAUGCGUAGAUAUAUGGAAGAACACCAGUGGCGAAAGCGGCUCUCUGGUCUGUAACUGACGCUGAGGUUCGAAAGCGUGGGGAGCAAACAGG
rnacentral:rRNA from 1 species